CGUUAGGCCUUGGAGCAAGGACGUGCUAACGAACCGUGUCAGGUCCGAGAGGAAGCAGCACUAAGUUUCCUACGUUCUGUGCUUCUUGUACAUAGCAAUU
rnacentral:SRP_RNA from 1 species